CGGUCCUCAGCCCCGCCCAAGCUCCUCAGCGCCGGGCGGAAUGUCCGGAGCCCUCGGGGCGCGGUGCCCUGCGCGCCCGGCAGGGGGCGCUCCGCCGGCAGGGGCUGGGGCGCGGGAGGGUCGCCCCCUGUGUCCUCAUGGUGAGGUGACAGCCGCAAGUACCAGUCCGCGUGGUUGUCAGGGUUGACCCUGUAGAUUCCUGAGACGAUUCGUCCUGAAGUAGCUCGAAAGAGAGAAAUUAUGGGGGCCUCUCUGUGCGUCCAGCAUACACUUUGGAAUCCGACAGUGUCAGAAACCCCAGCUCUGCUCUGUUACUGCACUAGAAAUAAAACGGAAUCGAGGCAUGGCACGAUCCCCGACUCAUACAUUCAGCACAGAGUCAUUCUAAAUGUCUUUUAAAUGUGCUUACACUGUCCGCUAGCCAUCAGUGUGGAACGUUGUUAGGUGUUCGGAGAAAGAGAUGAAGACUGUAAAGAGGCAGGACAGAGAGAACGUCGACGUCUAUGGUUGGAUGCCAGAGUCUGCUUAGGAGACAAACGGGGAAAUGUUACUCGGCCUUAAUUUUAAAUUAUUAAAAUUGUGAUGUUUCUGACGUUUAGAACGCAAAUCAUUAUGAAGCGUGCAUUCCAGUGGCUACUCUGGAAUAACAAUCACCAGAAUUAACAAGUGGAGAAGUUACUGUUGACUGUUAAAUACUGGUUGAUUAUGAAAGCCGAUACACGAGACUAAUUGUAUUGUUAUUGCUAAUACAAGAGGAAUCGGCAAGUGGGUGAUUGGUGACAAUUUGUUAAAAUCAUGUUGUCUCUACAUUCUGAGGCCAAUCCAGUCACACGUGUGUCUCAACUCCCAGAGCCUCCUGUCCAACAGUGUAACCUCCUCCCUGGAAGUACUGGGACCUGUCUUCAGAAUACUGCUGCCGUGAUGCGCACAGAGAGGGAGGCUCCAGGGAGAUGUGAGAUGUGAGUAUCAUGGGACUGCUUCUUAGAGGCUGGAAGCCCACUGGUUUCUUAAAUCUCUGAUUGAACUCACAACAAAUCACUUGUUUAUGCAAUUUCCCAAAUGUGUUUGCCACUUGAAUUGGGGGAUAAUAUUUAUUAAUUAAUAAUAUUUAUUAAUGCUCAUAUAAAAUAGGAUUUCAUACAAUUCAUAUAAAAUUUUAACAGCACUCGGAGUUAAGAUGGCCAGGAGCUGUGUCAGGCUUCGUAGUGCCGCAGGUUAAGCCAUAGUUUGGGAUCCCGCAUCCCAUAGCAGAGUGCUGGUGUGCUUUGGCUGCUCUGCUUCUGAUCCAACUUCCUACUAAUGCAUCGUGGAAGGCAGCAGAUGAUUAUUCAAGUGCUUGGCCUCCUGCCACUUAUGUGGGAGUCCUGGAUGGAGUUAUUUGCUCUGGCUUCGGGCUGACCCAGCCACAGUUGUUGUAGGUACUUGGGAUGGAAUCAGCAGAUGGAAGAUCACUCUCAUGUUCACUCUUGCUCUCACUCUUGCUCUUGCUUUCUUUCUCUGCCUUUUGAGUAGAUGAAAAUAAACGAAUGAACAUGUAUUUUAAAAGAGGCCA
rnacentral:lncRNA from 1 species